UGAAACAUGGUUGGACUUUGGUUGCUUUA
rnacentral:piRNA from 1 species